CUUCACACACCUACAUGGGAGGGGGAUCUCAUGUGCUACCUUUGGUACCUUCAGAAGUUCUCGUCUCUCCUUCGCCCUUACCAGAUGAGACAGGGGAUCGGGAGUACAAAGAAGGAAUGGCUGCUCGAAAAAGGCAAGAAUUUCAAGCUUGCUUUGGGCAAACGGGGGUCUUUGAAGCACCCAGUCCUCCAUUAAAAGGAGAGUGGGGUGGAGGGGGGAGAGAAAAAUCAAUGUUGACACAAAAAAGCGUGCUAUCUAUUGCUGGGAAUCCACAUGGAUGUGAGGUUGUAACGUGAAGCGAGGAUACAACAUUGUGAUCUUAAUCUUUGUUUCAGGGAGAAGAGACGGCGCCGAUCAUGUGACUAAACUCAGACUCAGUUCAGAUUCGUCCCUCUUUUCAAACCUGGACGGAUUUCAGGGUCGUAAUGACAAAAAGGUGCAAAUAGUUUGAAAAGUUCUCCACAAAUUCAGCAACAGCAGCGACAAUAAAAACCUCAGAUUUACGGUAAAUCGCUGCAGAAAGAUC